CGGGAAGGAGAAGCAGGCGCGGAGCUCCACGCCGAGGUCAGGCCGGGCCGGCGGACAGCGUCAGGAGCUGAAGUCAGCCGCUUGAGCUUUAGAAGCUCUUUGUUUCCUCUCAGAGAGAAGUCGACACAGAGCCCAGCCAGCCUGACGGAUUAGAAAACGCUCCAACCCCCACCGUCCAUCACACACUCACACAGAUAAAGGCUCUUCAGAGGAUCUUUACAGCACCUUCAGAUCAGCAGCCUAUCAAGAGUCUUCUCAUUUUUGCUAUAUGGAUUAAACAAGAUCUUAAACAAGUUCUAAGACUACAGCGAUAGUCAUGAAAACCUAACUUUCGUCCAUGAGAAACUUGUUUUGUAGAAUUUUUAAGAUGUUCUUCACCAUAUAAUGAAUGUGAAUGUGUUUGAAUGCUGUCAAGCUCCAAAAAUGAGAAUAAAGGGUGUUUUCUGAUGUUAUUUUA